GUGCCAGCAGCCGCGGUAAUACCGGCAGCACGAGUGAUGACCGCUAUUAUUGGGCCUAAAGCGUUCGUAGCUGGCCGGACAAGUCCGUUGGGAAAUCCGCGCGCUUAACGCGCGGGCGUCCAGCGGAAACUGUUCGGCUUGGGACCGGAAGAUCUGAGGGGUACGUCCGGGGUAGGAGUGAAAUCCUGUAAUCCUGGACGGACCACCGGUGGCGAAAGCGCCUCAGGAGGACGGAUCCGACAGUGAGGAACGAAAGCUAGGGUCUCGAACCGGAUUAGAAACCCCAGUAGUCC
rnacentral:rRNA from 1 species